UACGAAGGGGGCUAGCGUUGCUCGGAAUUACUGGGCGUAAAGGGAGCGUAGGCGGAUAGUUUAGUCAGAGGUGAAAUCCCGGGGCUCAACCUCGGAACUGCCUUUGAUACAGCAAGUCUUGAGUUCGAGAGAGGUGGGUGGAAUUCCUAGUGUAGAGGUGAAAUUCGUAGAUAUUAGGAAGAACACCGGUGGCGAAGGCGGCCCACUGGCUCGAUACUGACGCUGAGGUGCGAAAGCGUGGGGAGCAAACAGG
rnacentral:rRNA from 1 species